rnacentral:rRNA from 1 species
UACGGAAGGGGCAAGCGUUGUUCGGAAUCAUUGGGCGUAAAGGGCGCGUAGGCGGUUGUGUAUGUCUGCUGUGAAAACGCACGGCUCAACCGUGCGAAGUCGGUAGAAACUGCAAGACUUGAGGCUGGGAGAGGUUGGUGGAAUUCCCUGUGUAGCGGUGAAAUGCGUAGAUAUAGGGGAGAACACUUGUGGCGAAGGCGGCCAGCUGGACCAGCCCUGACGCUGAGGCGCGACAGCGUGGGGAGCAAACAGG